UACGUAUGCAUCGAGCGUUGUUCGGAUUUACUGGGCGUAAAGGGUGUGUAGGCGGUUUUCUAAGUUUGGUGUGAAAUCUCCCGGCUUAACCGGGAGGGUGCGCCGAAAACUGGGAGACUAGAGUGCGGGAUGGGAGAGUAGAAUUCCUGGUGUAGCGGUGAAAUGCGUAGAUAUCAGGAGGAAUACCGGUGGUGCAGACGGCUCUCUGGCCCGCAACUGACGCUGAGACACGAAAGCGUGGGUAGCAAACAGG
rnacentral:rRNA from 1 species